CGAAACACGUGGCACCUCCCUGAGGCGUGGAGCCAGGGGAGCUCCGGCAUUGCAGAACCAAGAGGAGGGCAUGAAGCUGUGCCAAGGAGGAGCAGGUGCUGCAUGAAGGAGUGAGAGCAUCGCUCGGGGCAGUUACCUCUGGGGUGAGAGGUCCUCUGCUCUGCCACAGAUGAACUAAAAACUCUACAAAACAGUCGUGCAGUGCUUGAGAGAG
rnacentral:lncRNA from 1 species